AACGAACGCUGGCGGCAGGCCUAACACAUGCAAGUCGAACGCCCUAGCAAUAGGGAGUGGCGCACGGGUGAGUAACGCGUGGGAACGUGCCUUUCAGUCUGGAAUAACUGCGGGAAACUGCAGCUAAUACCGGAUAUUCUCUACGGAGGAAAGAUUUAUCGCUGAAAGAUCGGCCCGCGUUAGAUUAGGUAGUUGGUGGGGUAAUGGCCUACCAAGCCUACGAUCUAUAGCUGGUCUGAGAGGAUGAUCAGCCACACUGGAACUGAGACACGGGCCAGGCUCCUACGGGAGGCAGCAGUGGGGAAUAUUGGACAAUGGGCGCAAGCCUGAUCCAGCCAUGCCGCGUGAGUGACGAAGGCCUUAGGGUUGUAAAGCUCUUUUGUCAGGGAAGAUAAUGACGGUACCUGAGGAAUAAGACACGGCUAACUUCGUACCAGCAGCCGCAGUAA
rnacentral:rRNA from 1 species